rnacentral:lncRNA from 1 species
CUGACUUGUAAACAUUUUUUGUCAAUCUGCUCAGUUCAGUGAUCAUGUAAUUUGAAUUUUCUGAGAAAGGUAUAGUGGGGUAAAUUAAUUUGAAAGCUAAACUAAAACCUUAUACUUUAUUCAGAAUAAAAGUUUGAACUUUUGUUUGCUUUUUGAGAAGUGGGUCUUGUCUUGGCUGGCCUGGAAUUCACUAUAUAGAGCAAACUGGCCUGGAACUCAGAAGUUCAUCUGCCUCUGCUUUUACCAUUCCUGAAGUACUGAAUCCUCAGAUGUUAGGACCUUGGCUUAAUUUAAGCAGGUUUUGUUACUGAGCGGAGCAAAGCAAGAUUAGAACCAAUUACUUUAGCUAGUGUUGGGUUUUCAGAGAACCCUAAAUUGUUGGCAAGCAUCUUUUUGUACCAACAGUGGUUUCAGUAUUGAACUGGCAUCUGCCUUCACUGUGGUCGUCGCAUCAAACAUUGGCCUUCCCAUCAGCACAACACAUUGUAAGGUGAGUGGAGUGGGACUGUCGUGGGCCCUCGAAGCCGAUGAGUAGCUUGGGUGUGCCCCACUGUAGGUGGAUCUGGGGGCUCCCACUACAUGUGGAAGUUGUAAAUACACUGGUUUUAACAAGUUUGUAAGUCUUGUGGUGAAAGCAUAUAUGCAGGGCCUGUCAUGCUUGACGCUCAGAACUUUAAGAACUUGGCUUGAUGAACAUAUAACAUAGUUAUUGGAUAAAGAAGAAACCAACAUCCUUGGAAGAGCUGAAUCUGGUCCACCUGGAGCCUGCCAAGUCACUCUUUCUGCGAGGGUGGCGUUGGGUCAUAUACCAGCCACUCUCUAGAGCAAUUGUUGGGAAAUCAGAAAUUUUAACUUACAAAAAGCAGGGAAAAGGAGUCUUGUCGUCAUUUUUUAGCACAUUUAGCAACAGAUUUAAUGGUUGUAUAUUUAUAUCAUCUUCACCUUGUCAUGGGUAAUUUUAGCUUGUUAGAAGUUAGCUUCUGGCUUGUAUCACAUGCCUGUAAUUUCACCUCUUGGGAUUCUGAAGUAGGAGGACCACAAGUUCAGUCCUGUUUGGACGACAGUGAGAAAUUUCUCCAGACAAACAUCCUUGGAGAUGGCUUCAUCGCUUGUCUGGGUUCCCUGUCCCAGGUGUCUUUUUGCUGAGUAAUGUCUGGUCUGUUUCUCUCCUAGGUGGGCUCUGUGGUGUCUGUUGGCUGGCUCCGAUCCAAGAAGGCUGUUGACUGGCGACUGUUUCGAAACAUUUUUAUGGCCUGGUUUGUCACCGUCCCUAUUUCUGGGGUUAUCAGUGCUGCUAUCAUGGCAGUGUUCAAGCACAUCAUUCUGCCGGUGUGAAGCUGAGCUCAGAAUUGUGUCAGUGUCUGGGACCAUCGCACACACCCCUGUUCCUAAAGAAUGCUCAGUGUUGCUGAAGAUAGGCCAGGGUUUUAAAGUGGGGGAGCUGUGGGAAGGAAGUGUAAUUUAUACUAUAAUUGCUUU